rnacentral:rRNA from 1 species
GACAGCCAGGAUGUUGGCUUAGAAGCAGCCAUCAUUUAAAGAAAGCGUAAUAGCUCACUGGUCGAGUCGGCCUGCGCGGAAGAUGUAACGGGGCUAAACCAUGCACCGAAGCUGCGGCAGCGACGCUUAUGCGUUGUUGGGUAGGGGAGCGUUCUGUAAGCCUGCGAAGGUGUGCUGUGAGGCAUGCUGGAGGUAUCAGAAGUGCGAAUGCUGACAUAAGUAACGAUAAAGCGGGUGAAAAGCCCGCUCGCCGGAAGACCAAGGGUUCCUGUCCAACGUUAAUCGGGGCAGGGUGAGUCGACCCCUAAGG